AUGCUCCUCCACUCUUCCGGUUGCCGCGGCAGUCUCCUGUUCCGCAGCGGCUUCCCCUUCCCGGCCACCACCACCCGCAGAAACCUAAGGGCGCUCACAACCGCAGCAGCUACUCCCAACAUGUAUCGCGGCGGGCGCGGCGGCGGCACCAACUCCCAGCGUGGUCGCGGGCGCGGGCGCGGCGGCGGAGGCAGAGGAGGCCGUGGCGGCGGCGGCGGGGGCCGUGGUGAGCAGAGAUGGUGGGAUCCGCAGUGGCGCGCCGAGCGGCUGCGGCAGAUGGCCUCAGAGGUGGAAAAGGUUGAUGAGCAUGAGUGGUGGAAUACGAUUGGGCAAUUAAGAGAAGGAUCUCAGCAGGAGUUAGUAGUCAAGAAGAAUUUCGGACGUGAUGGACAGAAUACACUUGCACAUAUUGCUCAGAGACACGGCCUUUACUUCAAUGCAUACAACAAAGGGAAGACACUUGUUUUUAGCAAAGUGCCACUGCCUGAUUACCGAGCAGAUCUUGAUGAGAGGCAUGGAUCAUCACAAAACGAGAUUAAGAUGUCCAAUGAGACAGAGAGACGAGUGGAAAACCUUUUAUCCAGGGCACAGUCAAAUAACAAUGCUUCUGCUAGCACAUCCACUGUCUCAAUGAGGCAAUCUUUGCCCAGCACAUCCACGGCAGUAGCUGAAUCAACAACAUAUGUUGAUAAACAGAAGCUAAGUUUUCAGCUUAGGGAUAUGCAGAGAUCAAAAAAGAUGAUGCCAAGUGCUAGAUCAAUGCAGUCUUUCAGGGAAAAAUUACCAGCAUUCAAAGCGAGAGAGGAGUUUUUGAAAGCAGUAGCAGCUAAUCAGGUUUUGGUCAUAUCUGGUGAGACAGGUUGUGGUAAAACAACACAGCUUCCGCAGUUCAUACUAGAAGAGGAGAUAGAUAACCUUCGUGGUGCUGAUUGCAGCAUAAUAUGUACUCAACCCCGCCGUAUAUCUGCCAUAUCGGUUGCAGCACGUGUAGGAUCUGAGAGAGGUGAAGAGCUUGGUGAGACUGUUGGAUACCAGAUUCGCCUUGAAUCAAAACGUUCCACACAAACACGACUGCUCUUCUGCACGACAGGAGUUUUGCUUAGAAAACUGGUUCAGGAGCCAGACUUAGUUGGUGUAAGUCAUUUACUAGUUGACGAAAUUCAUGAACGUGGCAUGAAUGAAGAUUUUCUCAUCAUCAUUUUACGCGACCUUCUGCCAAGGCGUCCUGACCUUCGUCUUGUAUUGAUGAGUGCAACAAUAAAUGCUGAACUAUUUUCCAAAUACUUUGGAGAUGCCCCAAUUAUGCAUAUUCCGGGUUUCACUUUUCCUGUUGCCGAGUUAUUUCUGGAAGAUAUUUUGGAAAAGACCCAAUACAAAAUCAAGUCUGAACGUGAUAAUUUUCAAGGAAAUUCAAGAAAAAAGAGACUUGCUUCAGUUAAGAAUGAUCCAUUGGCUGAUGUUUUCCAGGAUGUCGACAUUAAUAAGGAGUACGGAAACUAUAGCAUUACAACAAGGCAGUCCCUUGAAGCUUGGUCUGUCACUGAACUGGAUUUGAGCCUUGUGGAAGGUACGAUUGAGUAUAUCUGUCGUCAUGAAGGAGAAGGUGCAAUCCUUGUAUUCCUUACUGGUUGGGACGAAAUUUCAAAACUUUUGGACAAGAUUAAAGGGAAUAAUCUGCUUGGCAAUUCCAAUAAGUUCCUAGUUCUCCCACUGCAUGGCUCUAUGCCAACUGUUAAUCAGCGUGAAAUUUUUGACAGAGCACCAGCUAAUAUGAGAAAAAUUGUUCUGGCAACAAAUAUUGCAGAAAGCAGUAUUACAAUAGAUGAUGUUGUGUAUGUAAUUGAUUGUGGUAAAGCGAAGGAGACAAGUUAUGAUGCCUUGAAUAAGCUAGCGUGCCUUCUACCAUCGUGGAUAUCAAAAGCCUCUGCUCAUCAGAGGCGAGGCCGUGCAGGCCGUGUUCAGCCAGGUGUUUGCUAUAGGUUGUACCCGAAAGUCAUUCAUGAUGCCAUGCCUCAGUUUCAGCUGCCUGAAAUUCUUAGGACUCCACUGCAAGAACUGUGCCUUACUAUCAAAAGCUUACAGCUUGGAGCAGUCGCUUCUUUCUUAGCCAAGUCACUGCAACCCCCAGAUCCGCUUUCUGUUAAGAAUGCGAUUGAGCUUCUGAAAACCAUUGGAGCGCUGGAUGAUUUGGAGGAGCUCACUUAUUUAGGACGACAUCUAUGUACACUACCACUGGAUCCAAACAUUGGAAAGAUGCUGCUCAUUGGAUCCGUCUUCCAGUGCCUGGAUCCUGCAUUAACAAUCGCUGCUGCUCUUGCUUAUCGUAAUCCAUUUGUGCUCCCAAUAGAUAGAAAAGAAGAAGCAGAUGCUGUCAAAAGAUCAUUUGCUGGUGACUCCUGCAGUGAUCACAUUGCCCUUCUUAAGGCAUUUGAAGCAUGGAAGGAAGCAAAACGCAGUGGAAGGGAGCGUUCUUUCUGUUGGGAAAAUUUUCUGUCUCCUAUGACCCUGAAGAUGAUGGAUGACAUGCGAAAUCAAUUUUUUGAUCUACUUUCUGAUAUUGGAUUUGUUAGCAAGACAAGAGGAGUGAAGGCAUAUAACCAUUAUGGCAAGGAUCUGGAGAUGGUUUCCGCUGUUUUAUGUGCUGGGCUUUACCCAAAUGUCAUACAGUGCAAAAGACGGGGCAAGAGGACAGCAUUCUACACCAAAGAUGUCGGAAAGGUGGACAUUCACCCAUCAUCAGUCAAUGCAGGAGUGCAGCAAUUCCCAUUGCCUUAUCUGGUUUACAGCGAGAAGGUGAAAACUGCUAGCAUUUAUGUGAGGGACUCCACAAACAUAUCAGAUUAUGCUCUUCUACUUUUUGGUGGUUCCUUAAGUCCAAGUAACACCGGAGAAGGCAUCGAGAUGCUUGCGGGGUAUCUUCAUUUCUCUGCACCAAAGCGUAUCAUAGAGUUGAUCCAGAGAUUAAGAGGUGAAUUGGACAAACUCCUUCAGAGGAAGAUUGAGGAACCUGCACUUGACAUCUUUUCGGAAGGGAAAGGGGUUGUGGCUGCGGCCAUAGAACUGUUGCACAGUCAAAACAUUUACCACUAG
rnacentral:rRNA from 1 species